UUCCUUCGUCUAUAUCGGUGUGUUGACAUAUUGGUUGCUGCCUGACAUAGCUAACAGGAAAGUCAGUUUUUUGUGAUGGCUUUUGUUAUGUAUUAAUGAAGUUAUUCGACUAUCCGAGUUGGGAAGGCUGUUUAUGUCACACCUUUUUGGGGGUGCGGUCCUUUUCCAGACCCUAUGUGAACGUGAGAGUGAUCAGCACGUGUGUGGUUGCCUAGAAAGAGCUUUCACUAUCUCCGAGAAGGGAAGGCUGUUUACGUCAGACCUUUUUGGGGGUGUGGUCCUUUUCCAGACCCUACAUGAACGUGAGAUAAUUUGUGCGUCGAGCUGCACUUUUUCAUACUUCAAGAUGGGACAUGGAUCUUGAAAUGCCUUCCAUCAUAUAAAUCAUUUUGUUCCUUAAUUUAUGACC
rnacentral:lncRNA from 1 species